AGGGGGCGAGGGGGCCCUAUGGUUUCAAGAAGGCUGUCUGAGGGCCACAAGUGCUGUCUUCCCCCCCAG
ensembl:miRNA Mir6968 microRNA 6968